UCAUCAUUUAAUUAAACCAAAUGAACAUUUUACAUUGUUUCUGAUAAUCCUAUGUAAUCUUCUUUUGAUAUUCAGAUCUUAAUCGAAUUCAAUGUGUGAAACUUCUUUCUCGGUGGCUCUGUUGUUUUUUCAUCCAUCGAAACAGCAAAUUGACUCGGAUAAUGGCUGAUACUAUCAACCUGAUAGAUCAAUUGGAUUUUAUGAUAAUUAAAAGUAAACCAUUACAAUAAACAACAAUAUCAGAUGACCUUAUUAGAGUGCUGUAAUCACAAUGACGGUAUGCCACAGGUAACCAAGGAGUUUCUACUAGCUACCGUAAUCAAAUACGCCUGAGCUUCAACAUCUGUGAAAUGUUUGAUGAUAUUUUUCAAUAAUCUAAUCUUUUUGAAAUUAAUUUUUGAAACCAUUUCUAUUCAUCAAUUCUCAGGACUAUUCGCGCAAUUUUCAUUUACUGCAUGAAAUCGUGCCUCUCGUUGAAUUCUGUGACUGUGUCUUCAUAACUUUUGGUCCUUCUAUGACAAUGUUUUGCUUUAAAGUAGCCAAUUAUCCAAUUCAGAUUAUAAUGACCUCAUCCUGUUUCUUUUGGUUAUGUGUCUUGGCGUCCUUUUUUAUGGGCUAUUGAUGUACCCAGAAAUAAACGCUUGCUAAUAGUCCAGGAACAGUGGGUCUUUAUGGCGGUUCACCUAAAUUUUUCAUAUCACAAGCGUUCAUUGCUCUAACUUUUAUUUGAAUACAUACAUUCAGGAGAAUCAUAUUCUUUGAUUCACUCGAUAGCGGAUGUAAACAUAGAAUUGACAAUUAACUCUUUCUCAUCUUACUGCAUCAUCACUGGUAAAUUGAUUAUUUCAUUCGCUUGGGAAUUUACUAGCAUAAACUCUUGACUUGAUAUAAUUCUGUUUUUCGACAAAUUAGCGGGCAAUUAAAUGAAAUUUUGUCCUG